UACGGAGGAUCCAAGCGUUAUCCGGAUUUAUUGGGUUUAAAGGGUGCGUAGGCGGCUUUAUAAGUCGGUGUUUAAAGUUUCUGGCUUAACCAGAGGAAUGGCACUGAUACUGUAGAGCUUGAGUACAAGCGAGGCAGGCGGAAUUUAUGGUGUAGCGGUGAAAUGCUCAGAUACCAUAAAGAACACCGAUAGCGUAGGCAGCUUGCCAGUAUGUAACUGACGCUGAGGCACGAAAGCGUGGGGAUCAAACAGG
rnacentral:rRNA from 1 species